rnacentral:snoRNA from 17 species
UUCAAUGAUGAGCAAUUUUAUUAUAAACUAGUUAUCCCUGGCAGAACUACACUGUUGAUAACCUAACCUCUGAAAU